CAAAAAAAAACAUUUAGCCAUGUGGUGCCCUAUCUCUUCUAUAUAAUUUACAAUCUCAUGUUUAAUUCAUGAUGGUUGUCACGUGACAGUUUUUUCCAUUGUUUUCUCAAUAAGAUCAAGUGACUAAAUGUUGUUUGUUUACGAUUGGUGAAUGAGGUCCAUUGUAUAAAUGUUCAUUAUAAUUUUUUAUGCAAAUUAAUAUGAACUUAGAUCUCAGUGAAAUUUGGUGGGGGUGGGGGAAGGGGGUCACUGAUCAGUAAUCAUAAAGAAAAAUUUAUUCUU